UGGAUCCAGACUUUGAUCAUGGCUCAGGAUGAACGCUGGCGGCGUGCUUAACACAUGCAAGUCGAACGGGGUACCCCCAAAGGAGUUUUCGGACAACUGCGGGGAAUACCUAGUGGCGGACGGGUGAGUAACGCGUGAGUAACCUGCCUUGGAGUGGGGAAUAACAGCUGGAAACAGCUGCUAAUACCGCAUGGUGCAGUUGGGUCGCAUGGCUCUGACUGCCAAAGAUUUAUCGCUCUGAGAUGGACUCGCGUCAGAUUAGCUAGUUGGCGGGGCAACGGCCCACCAAGGCGACGAUCAGUAGCCGGACUGAGAGGUUGGCCGGCCACAUUGGGACUGAGACACGGCCCAGACUCCUACGGGAGGCAGCAGUGGGGAAUAUUGGGCAAUGGGCGCAAGCCUGACCCAGCAACGCCGCGUGAAGGAAGAAGGCUUUCGGGUUGUAAACUUCUUUUGUCAGGGACGAAGCAAGUGACGGUACCUGACGAAUAAGCCACGGCUAACUACGUGCCAGCAGCCGCGGUAAUACGUAGGUGGCAAGCGUUAUCCGGAUUUACUGGGUGUAAAGGGCGUGUAGGCGGGAGUGCAAGUCAGAUGUGAAAACCACGGGCUCAACCUGUGGCCUGCAUUUGAAACUGUACUUCUUGAGUACUGGAGAGGCAGACGGAAUUCCUAGUGUAGCGGUGAAAUGCGUAGAUAUUAGGAGGAACACCAGUGGCGAAGGCGGUCUGCUGGACAGCAACUGACGCUGAGGCGCGAAAGCGUGGGGAGCAGACAGGAUUAGAUACCCUGGUAGUCCACGCUGUAAACGAUGGAUACUAGGUGUGGGGGGACUGACCCCCUCCGUGCCGCAGUUAACACAAUAAGUAUCCCACCUGGGGAGUACGAUCGCAAGGUUGCAACUCAAAUGAAUUGACGGA
rnacentral:rRNA from 2 species